GGCUCCCGAGGACGCCUGGAAGUGGGGCAGCACAGACAGAACUUGCCGGUUCUCUGUGUGGUGAGGCGUAGGAGAAGGAGAUUUUUCGGAUCCCGGAGUGUGGUGUCCAGCCCGCUCUUGGUUCCCAGAAGAGCCCCAGUCUGUUACCACGUCCACCCUUCACGCAAAAAUAGGACAGUGGUCUGGGUUCAGAAAAGCCAAAGCUCUGCCCAGCCGGGUGUGGCCCGUGCUGCCCAGAGCUGGGGGCGUCUGCCGCCUCCCCCCUGCACCCGGGGUGCCCCAGCUCUCCCCGCGGCCCGCCUCCAUCCCAACGGUUAUGAUCCAGACGGACCCGGAGAGAAGGGCCGCCCUGGCCUGGAUCACACUGUGCCGAGCCUGGCAUCCCCGGGCACCCAGAGCUCACCCCUAGACGCAGGACGGAAGGGAGCGCCGUGCCCCCACAGCAAGGGGCAGGGGGAGGCCCAGGAGAGACCCCGUCCCGAGCCGGGGAGAGGGAGGCAGCCUGAGGGCCUGGGCGCAUCCUGGCUCCUCCAAUUCCUGCCGCCGGUCCUCAGACGGGACACCCAGCUCGCCGUCUCCCGAAGGACACGCUCGUCUUCCUCUCGGGCGGUGGGGGCUUCAGGCUGCGGCUGGUUCCCCAGAUGGCAGCUCGCCCACCUUCCUGUGGGAAACCUGACUGGAGACACAGGCGCCUGGCUCACGCGGAGCCCGCAGAGGGCGGUGUGAGCGGAGGCUUCCCCGCAGGAGCCCCAGCGCCAGCCCUGCGUGGCAGGCAGGACAGCCCCCCGCUGGACGCCCACCUCCUACUCUCCCAAACCUGAGACUCGGGUCACGCUGCAACAGGAGCUACGGCGGAAGGUGGACCCAGUGGCUGAGAUGGGAAACGACCCUGGAUUAUCCCGGCGGCUCCAGUGUGAUUGGAAGGAAACCUCACGGUGGAGGGGGGACGGGAGAGCCAGUGUCUGUGACUCAGCGUGAGAGAGGCCAUCGCUGGCUGUGGACGGACGGAGGGGCCGUGAGCCAAGGAAUGCGGGUGGUCUCCAGAAGGUGGGAAAGGCAGGAAGCGGGUUCUCCCCCCCUGGAGCCUCUGGAAGGACGCAGCGCUGCUGACAUGUCAACCACAGCCUCGGGAGACCCCUGUGGACCCCUGACCCCCAGACUGUAGGGUAAUAAAUGUGUGUUGUUUUAAGCCA
rnacentral:lncRNA from 1 species